rnacentral:rRNA from 1 species
UACGGGGGGGGCAAGCGUUGUUCGGAAUUACUGGGCGUAAAGGGCUCGUAGGUGGCCAACUAAGUCAGACGUGAAAUCCCUCGGCUUAACCGGGGAACUGCGUCUGAUACUGGAUGGCUUGAGUUCGGGAGAGGGAUGCGGAAUUCCAGGUGUAGCGGUGAAAUGCGUAGAUAUCGGGAGGAACACCUGUGGCGAAGGCGGCCCCCUGGUUGGAUACUGACGCUGAGACGCGAAAGCGUGGGGAGCAAACAGG